CGAUGGUAGUUGGGGGCUUCCCCCUGUUAGAGUAGGACGUUGCCGGGC
rnacentral:rRNA from 1 species